UACAGAGGUCUCAAGCGUUGUUCGGAUUCAUUGGGCGUAAAGGGUGCGUAGGCGGCGCGGUAAGUCGGGUGUGAAAAUUUUCGAGGCUUAACUUCGAAACUGCAUUCGAUACUGCCGUGCUAGAGGACUGGAGAGGAGACUGGAAUUUACGGUGUAGCGGUGAAAUGCGUAGAUAUCGUAAGGAAGACCAGUGGCGAAGGCGGGUCUCUGGACAGUUCCUGACGCUGAGGCACGAAGGCCAGGGGAGCAAACGGG
rnacentral:rRNA from 1 species